CAGUCGCCGCGGUAAUAGGAAGGGUGCAAGCGUUAAUCGGAAUUACUGGGCGUAAAGCGUGCGUAGGCGGUGAGUUAAGUCUGCUGUGAAAUCCCCGGGCUCAACCUGGGAAUGGCAGUGGAUACUGGCUCGCUAGAGUGUGUCAGAGGAUGGUGGAAUUCCCGGUGUAGCAGUGAAAUGCGUAGAGAUCGGAAGGAACAUCUGUGGCGAAGGCGACUAUCUGGGCCAGCACUGACACUGAGGCACGAAAGCGUGGGGAGCAAACAGGAUUAGAUACCCCGGUAGUCCCUGUCUCUUAUCC
rnacentral:rRNA from 1 species